rnacentral:lncRNA from 1 species
CAUCCAUAUGGCUCCAAAUGAAAAUUACGUUAGUUUGUUAUGGUUGAAGAGUAUUGCGUUGUGCAGAUAAAUACUGCAGUUUCCUCAUCCCUUCAUCUGUGGAUGAACAGGUUCCACAGUGUUGCCACGGAUGACCUGAUUUCAGUACCCGUGUCUGGCUGUAGAGUAUCUGGUCGUGACUGGAUACUGCAGUUUCUGGAUCUCAUCCUCUGGGGGUGGACAGGUUUUUCCAUCUUGCUGGUAGUGAACUGAUGUCCGGAAGUUUGAUGGCUGAAGAGUAUACCGUUGUGCAUAUAUCCUUCAAUUCCUGCAUUUUUUAAUCUGUAGAAAGACAAGUAGGUUGAUUCCCCAUCUUAGUUAUUGUCCAGAGUACUUCAUGAAACAUGAGAGGGAGAUACCUCCUUAAGGUAGGUUUGGUUGGCUUUGCAGGUAUACCCAGUGUUGGGAUGGCUAGAGGAACUGGUGGUUGUGUUAAUUGUUUCAGAAACCUCCAGCUGUCUCCCAGCAGGUAUACGAAUUUGCAUUCAAACCAGUAGUGUGUAAUAGUUCCUCUGUCUGCAAAUCUACACUGCCCUUAUCUUCCAAAGUUUUAUUGCUGUUUCUGGUCAUACUCGUUCUCUGGGAAGAAACUCUUCUGAUGUGGACAAACUUUUCUAUUACCUGAGAGUCUGUUUCAGGUUUUUUCAGAAAUGGCUAUGCCAGUCCUUUGGGCAUUUUUAGCAUGUGUUUUGGUUUUUGUAUUUUUGUCCACUUAGGACCAUUAGUUUCUUGAGUAUGUUAGAUAAGAAGCCCUUCCAGAUUGACAGUUUUUCAUAAUUUUCUUCUAGUCUGCAAGAUGCCUUUUAUUUGGGUUCAGUAUUUUCUGUCCUGUGUUGAAGCUGCGUGAAGCUCUGAAGUUGUCCUUAGUCUCACAUGGUCACAUUAGCUUUUGUUAGUGGUGAUUUCUGUGUCCCUUUGAGAAGAAAAGUGAGAUGGCGAAGCCAUUGUAUGGUCUAUGGGUAUUUGGUUCCUAUGUCUUCCUUUUCUGUUUGUGGCUUAGGUUCACAGGUUCAAGUUUACCCACAGUAGACACACACCCUACGUGUUUUCCUUGGAGAUUUUGGUUUCAGGAUUGAACUUAGGUGUUCAGUAGAUUUUGUGUCGCUUUUUGUGUCUUGGGUAAAGGAAAGGUUCGGUCCUUUGCACGUGACCCCUCAGUUUCCUCAACCAUUGUGCCUUUGGUGUGCUUUUGGAGGAACAACAAGAAUCCCAUGGGUUCAGUGUUUAUAAUUGUGGGUUGAUUAUUUGGCUCCUUCGUUGUGUCCAUUCGGUUGUCUUUCUGUGUUCAUGCCACUAAUGGAUGGAUUGGGUCACUGUAGGCUUUUUGUUUUGUUUUGUGUGUUUUCUUCCUUUUUUCUAUUUUUAUUUCCAAAGCUGGGUUUUCUAAAAUGAUAGCUACUUUUAUUGUGAUCGAGGGGUACGCCUGCAGGUUCAUUUCACUACAUGGCUAUACAGUAGAAUUUUGAUGCUUGGGGUCCUAACGUACCUGUCACCCAGGCGGUGAACACAGCACCAGUUGGGUCUUUCUUCCUCCAAGGCUCCCUGUCUCCCUUUUUUUUCUGUCUGGAAGUACCCAGCGUCUCUUGAUUUCAUCUUUAUGUUGAUGUGUAUUGGGUGUUGCGCUUCCACUUAUAAAUGAGAACCUGCAGUGUUUGGUCUUCUGUUCUUGCCUCAGUUGCUUAGCAGAGUGGCCUCCAGUUCCACCCAUGUUCCUACCGAGGGCAUGAUUUUGUUUCUGUGUUUGAUUUUCCUUAGUGGCUUUUUAGCAUUCUGUGAUGUAUAGGAACCACAUUUUUAAAAAUCCAGUUUUCUGUUCGUGGGCAUCUAGAUCAGUUCCACAUCUUUAUUCCUGUCAGUAACACUCCCGUGGACGUGUGAGUGUCAUGUGUCUUUUUGAUAGACGCAUGUGUUUUUCCCUGGGGUAGAUGCAUGGGGUAGGAUUGCUGGGUCAAAGCAUAGCUCUGCCUUCCAUCCUUUUUUUUUUCCAGAAAUCUUCAGACUGGUUUCCACAGUUUAGGAUCUAGUUUGCAUUACCUCCAAGAGAAUAGCCAUGUUUGCUUUUCUCUGCUGCCACACUGUAGCAUGUUAUGUUUUGACUUGGGACAAAUGGCCACUCUGACCAGCAUGUGAUGGUACUGGUACCUCAUCUCUGAUGAUUAGUGAUGUUGAGCGUUUCCCAUGCCUGUUGGAAUGGCAAUCCGUUGGAAAUGUCUUCUCAGUUACUACCCAUAUGUAUGUUGCUCAGGCCACUGUGUGGCCCCAGCACUGUUGGUUUGCAUCGGGACUUGGGGAUUGUUUGUCGUUGUUAGCCAAGACAAAUGUUACACUGCUGUUCCUACAGUGAGUAGUGGGAGUGGGGUAUGGGGACAUAUGCUUAUGCCCACAGUUCCAUCAGAAAUCCCACUGCCUUAAGACAGUCUCACGGGAACCCAGUCCCAGCCUUGCAGCACUGGGUAGCCCUGUGGCAUUUUGACUUUGGAUGUAUCUGCAUUGUUGAAGUCACUCAGCAUGUUGCCAUGCAUUUAUCCACUUAGGUCAAUGUUAAGGGAAGUUCAUCGCCUCUGCUUCUUCAGUAACUGAUGUCUGGUGCAUCAACUGAAUGCAUUUCAGGCUUUUAAGCAGUUCCCACGGAUCUAUGGGUAAAAAAGGCUUUCACCAUGCCCACCUACUCAGUGAGUGACCAAUGUCUCAUUGUUAGUGCAUCUGAUGCACAGAGUUUAGUGGUCUGAGGGAGGUCAGUCGCCAAGCAGAGAUUGAAAUCACAUUUGUAUUUACAUUAUUACUUUUCUACAGCUUGGUUCCUUGCAGGGUUUCACACUAUUUAGUCUGGAUUGAAUCCUUGAAUUACUUUACUUUGUCUACCAAGGCUUUCAAAGAACUUGAUAAACUUGUUCUAAUUAGCCAACAUAUUCAUCCAUGAUGUCCGUAUACCAGGUCUAAAAAUAAAACAUUUCUUAAUGCACACAGGACAUGGAAGGCAAUCUACACAUUUUCAAGUGUAGACUUUGCUUGUGACUCUUUUGUGAGGAAUAGUCAUUGUUACUUUAGGAAAACCCUGAGUUUAUCCAACUCUUGUUAGAAUUGGAUAAGUGUAAAAACCUACAAUAGAAUGCAAGUGUGAGAGCCAAGUCCUCUGGUAAAAUAAACUCAUAUUAUUCUUUAUAUAUGUCUGGUCAUUGUAUUAAUAAAAUCAGUUUGUUUUGGCUGAAACACAUGGUUGGCCUUUACAAUAGAUGUGAAAAUGGGCUUAUAGAUCAUUGCUCUUUAUUGUGAAUAUUAGGUUGUAUUUAUUGCCAAACUCUUUCAACAGCUUCUAAGCAGUGAAUUUCAGUGUGUUGUUGUUGUUCUCCAAGCACAAGCAGCUACUUCAGUUUUACCACAUUCAUCUCCCACACACUGAUGAACCAUAUGGAGACAGCAGGAACUGCAGUAGAACCAGAGGGAGUAGUUAGGACAGACACUCUGAUUCAUUCAUUCUGAUUCUCACUGUUGUCAGUGAGUAAAGGUCAUUGAAUUUUUCUUCUGAUGAAUAAAAUGGACAAUUUUCUCAGUGCAAUGGCUUACUUUUGGAAGAGCAGCCCUAAAGACUUUACUACUGAUCAGUAAAGUCUAAACUGCUUUCUGUGUAUUUUUUUAAUUAAACUUUUAUUUUAGAUUGAAUAAAAAUGUGCAGGUUUAUUGUGUGAUACUGAGUUUUGGGGUAUGAUUGAAGCCAUCACUAAGGUAGUGAGCAUCUCACCUUCUCCCUCUCUUCACUCUGUUACAGAGAACAGACCCUCCCAGUCUUCAGUGCACUCUAAAUACUGGCUAAUUCUGGCCAAUGGAAGGCAUCUGUGGAAGAGAAAAGCCUCAGGUCAUGUGCUAUCUGUCUUUAUUCACUGUGACAUAUUAGGUAAUGGUCACAGCCACUCACCAUGGCCCCAGUUUUUAAUAACAUGACCCUGCUUUUGUGUUCCAGUAACUUGUGUUGUUUUCCCAGUCCUAAGUAUGAUAGAAACUUCCUGCUGCUGCUAAUCUCUGGGUUCCAUUUAAAAUCCUUCCAUCACGUGAAUACUAUGCUGUGUACUAAAUUUUUCCAUAAUUAAAUACUUAGAAUUAUUUUUGCCUACUUAUUUUGCCCCUUAGUGAUAUGUUUUAAAAACACUUAAAAUGUGUUACAAUAUAUUUAGAAAAGGUAGGGAAUGACAUUUUUACUUUCAUCAGCAUUUAUGCUAGCAUUUAUGGAGCAAUGCUAUCUAAAGUAUUUUUAGUAAUUUAAACGUUAUAUAAUACAUAUGCUUUUGAUUCCUUUGUUACUAUGUAAAUAAAUAUAUUUGUGAUAUUCAGUAAAUAGUAUUGAAUACAUGUUUCAUGUAUAUAAUAUAAAGUUAUGAUUUUUUUUAAACAGUACAUCAUAUUUGCUUGUUGGCUUUAUGAUAACUUAGAAAUAAUAUUCUGGAUUAACUGUGUGACUCAUGAGAGAGUUUGUGCAACUAUGUUUCCAAAUUUACUUGAUUUUCAAGACUUACACUAGAACUGUGCGAACAAGGUAAUAAGUAAGCAUAUGUAUUAAUACCACCUUUGGUCAACUCUUGGGUAGCCCCAGUGUUGGCCUCCCGCUUUGGCCUCCCAAAGUGCUGGGAUUACAGGCAUGAGCCACCGCAGCCAGCCAACAUAGAGAUAAUCUUAAAGACUCCAUAAAAAAGAAAAAAAGUGUUAAAGCUGAUAAACACAUUCAAAAUUGAGAAUUACAAAAUUAGCAUACAAAUAGUAUUCUUGUUUCUAUACACCAGUGACAAACUAUUAACUGAAAAACAAAUUAAUGAAGUAAUUCAUUUUAUAAUGGUAUCACUGGGCCCCAGUGGUAGUGUAGGAAUUAACAUAAUUUUUCCUAUUAAAAGUAUUGGAUUUGUUUUGAGAGACCACAGUUAAAAAUCAUUGACAUACAAAGUUUAAAAGUUGUUAGAUUAAAAAAUUUUUAAUGCAUUUCAAGUGGUUUUAUAGAAAAAUAAUUAUCUAACUUGGUUUAUGUUGAUAGGUUGUUUUCUUGGAUAAGAGCUAGACAAAGAGAAAGGGAGAGUAGUGAUAAAUGUCCAGGUUUUCAAGUUGAAAAGUAACAAUCAGUGUAUUAUAACAGAUGGAUGUGAUGUCAGAUUACAAAUGCUGAAAAUGUUAUAUGUAAUCAUGUAGCCAGAGUAAUUAUACAAGGUAAAGAAUGGAAAGGCAUCCAAAUAGGAACGAGGCUGGAGUGCAGCGGCACCAUCUCA